CUUGUACUCCCUCCGUCCGAAAAUACUUGUCAUUGAAAUGAUUGUAUCUAGAUGUAUUUUAGUUCUAGACACAUCCAUUUUGAUGACAAGUAAUUCCGAACGGAGGGAGUACUUG
rnacentral:pre_miRNA from 1 species